UACGGAGGGAGCUAGCGUUGUUCGGAAUUACUGGGCGUAAAGCGCGCGUAGGCGGUUAUUCAAGUCAGAGGUGAAAGCCCGGAGCUCAACUUCGGAACGGCCUUUGAAACUAGAUAACUAGAAUCUUGGAGAGGUCAGUGGAAUUCCGAGUGUAGAGGUGAAAUUCGUAGAUAUUCGGAAGAACACCAGUGGCGAAGGCGACUGACUGGACAAGUAUUGACGCUGAGGUGCGAAAGCGUGGGGAGCAAACAGG
rnacentral:rRNA from 1 species